CACCGCGGUUAUACGAAAGGCCCGAGUUGAAAGACACCGGCGUAAAGCGUGGUUAAGGAAAAAAUUAAUACUAAAGCCGAACAUAUACAAAGUUGUUAUACACUUUUUCGAAAAUAAGAAGCCCACUUACGAAAGUAGCUUUAUACCCCUGAACCCACGAAAGCUAUGGCA
rnacentral:rRNA from 1 species